rnacentral:rRNA from 1 species
CCCCCAGACUCCUACGGGAGGCAGCAGUGGGGAAUAUUGCACAAUGGGGGAAACCCUGAUGCAGCGACGCCGCGUGAGCGAUGAAGUAUUUCGGUAUGUAAAGCUCUAUCAGCAGGGAAGAAAAUGACGGUACCUGACUAAGAAGCCCCGGCUAACUACGUGCCAGCAGCCGCGGUAAUACGUAGGGGGCAAGCGUUAUCCGGAUUUACUGGGUGUAAAGGGAGCGUAGACGGUCCUGCAAGCCAGAUGUGAAAGCCCGGGGCUCAACCCCGGGACUGCAUUUGGAACUGUAAGGCUAGAGUGUCGGAGAGGCGGGCGGAAUUCCUAGUGUAGCGGUGAAAUGCGUAGAUAUUAGGAGGAACACCAGUGGCGAAGGCGGCUUACUGGACUGUAACUGACGUUGAGGCUCGAAAGCGUGGGGAGCAAACAGGAUUAGAUACCCUGGUAUC